GGUGGGCAAAUGCCCCCCAGUCCCUUAUGCCCACCACAAAAUCACAUUUGCCUCCCCCCCCCAAGAAAAGUCCCUUUUUCCUAAAGUUAUACAAACAAACCAGCGAAAAAUAACAAAUAGAUAAACGGAAAGUAAGUUUUAGGCUUUAUCCUUUGUCCUAACUCGCUUAACAAAAUCGAUUUAAAUUGUUACGUUUUUCUAUCAGUAAGUAUAAUGAUAAAUUAUUGUUAAUAAAUUUUUAUUUUUUGUGCGUUUUUUCAUUCUUUUAUUUCAAAUACAUGUAUACUUAGCAUAAAUUUUAGGGCAAAUUUAAAUGCUUAGAAUGCAGGAAAUGGCAUUUCCGGUCUUCAAAUUUCAAAAGGAGUAUGCCCCCAGACCCCUCUAUUCACGAUUGGUAUGUUCGCCACACACGUGGCCUUCAGCCAUUCGUUCCUAUCCCCCUCUAAUAUAUUAUCUCACAGAAAGGUCCCUUUUCAAAAAAUGCCCCUAGGGGAAAUCCUUAAAAAAAGCCCUGACCAAUAUACAGGGACGCCGGAACGAUAAUAGGGCAAAGGGUGGCGGACGCACACCAAGGGCACCUUUACUGAAAUUUUUUUUUUUCACUGCAAAAUUUUUUGGCGACCCCCCCCCGUCGCCAAAAAAAUUUCGGUCAGUGUACCAUUUUAGGGGUCAAAAAAUUUUUCCGGACAUACAAAAAUUUUCCGUGAAGCCAAAAAUUUUUCCGGAUAUCUUAAUUUUCGCCAUUUCUUCAAACUAUUUUUCUAAAUUCCAAAAAUUUCCCAAAAUUUUUAUAAAUAUAAACUAUAAAUUACCUGAAUCUCGUGAUUUUCCUACAAAAAGCAUCGUUGGAAAUGUGAUUU